rnacentral:ncRNA from 1 species
CAAAAGACCGUGAAGGGAAAAAGACGGGACAGGUCCCCCUGCAGAGAGCCGGCGGAUGGUGCAAGCCGGCGGAGGCGUUCCGUUGUACUGGCCCCGGAGUUUCCCGCCUGAACAGGGCGGGACGGCUGCGCCCCGUUACAGGCGGCGCUCCUUAUUGGAGGAGCCUAUGAGGACUGCGGAGCGAUCCGCGGCCGAAGCAGGGUGGUAUCACGUUUUCACGUCCCUGAC